UCUAAAAAAUCAAGCAUGGGGGUAGUAAAUUCAGCUUAAAUAAAUACACAAUUUUAAUAUAAACAUUUAAGUUUGCAGCAUUUAUUUGUUAAACUAAGUAACCAGCUUGAUUAAUCUAGGUAAACCAACUUGAAAAAUAUGAAAAUAGCCAUACUCAUUUUCCUGUGUAAUUUGAAUGCAUGACAAUGCAACAGCUCAACUUGUCUCAAAUUUUAAGUUGUUUCAGCUCAAAUAAUAUUUUUAAACCUGGGUGAGGCCACUCAAGCAGCAGACGAGACUCCACGUGCAGCCUGUUUGGAAAGUCGACGCACUCAUGUCUUCUUUGCACAGAGCUACUAUCUGCUUUGGAAUUUCAUCUUUUGUGCUUUGGAACAUCUGACAAGUUCUCUGUCGGGAUCAGAAUUAUUGCUGGAGGACCAUUAACCGACUACGUGGUUGCCCGGAUUGAUGCCAUUGGUGAUGUCAAGAGGAGGGGCUGCCAAAUAUAAGAUCCAGAAAAUCAUGGAACUUCUGAAGGUGCUUGAUAUGAUCAACACAGUUGAAACUCGCAGAGAGGUUGCCAUUCGCUGCUUAGUGCUCUGCCUUGGGGAAAAUGAGGACAGU